UAUGGUGUAGAACCAGGAAUAUUCCUGUAUCACUCGUUUUAACUGAAAUCGGCACUAGUUUUCGACUUGAUGACAUUAAAUUAAGUUAUAGCUUGAUUCAUCCUCCCUUUCAAGAGAUUAGAUAAGCAUCACUCUCGAACCCUCUUAAAUCAUCAAUAGGAAUAUAAUCCAACUUUAAUAUCCCGUCAGUCCUGCAAUCAUGUGGAAAUCGUAAUAGAAUACUGUGUGGGAAGCCUGAGGGAUUGGCAACUGGAUAGCCACUCCACUGCAGGAAACCUUUACCUUCAUGAGUGAUCAGCAAGCAAUCCCCACAGAAAAUAGUGACAGAAUCUUUAGCCCAUAGUUAUCUCAUGAAACCAGAAACAACUUAACAAAAAGAAGACAUCAAGGAUAGCAUGAAUACUAAGAGAUGGAAUGAUAACUAGAACCGGUGAUAGUGCAAGAGAAUGCAUUUGAUGCAAGUGAUGAGAACAUACAAGCACAAUCUCAAUCUUGGGGGGAUCACCUAUUUCUUAAGAAGAUAAAUGGAAAAAAGGUAGCACUGAAAAAAUCCAAGUGCUCAGGUUUUUAUGAAACAAAUCUUCAGCAUCUUCUUUUGACUGCUGACUCCCUAAUUUUACUACUAUUCAACAACACGCGACCUCACAGCUCCGGUUCCUAACCUAGUUUGAAUAGAAAACUACUUUUCCAUGUUCAAUCAUCAAUUUAAAUAUUAAGAAUCUGAUAACUUGAACUAUGUACAAAGAAAAGUUUAAUCCAAUCUUAUUAUCCCAAGAAAAUCAAAGGAAAAUGACUUGACCUUAAAGCUGCAAUGAUCUUCUUUUUUUCUCUUUAGAGAUCAACAUGGUUAACACACUCAAAAUUCAGGAAAUAUGCAAAAAAUUCUGUGCAAGAUAGCUCGGCAUUUUGGGAAAACUUUAUGUGAUUUGAUGUUUGCAUAAUUAAAAAUCGAGAACUGAUGGAUAGAAGCUUAUGCUGAAAAUAGAAGGCAAUUAUUUGAAAACAUGAGCAUAUACUAAUAAGCGAAUUAUUCAGGAAAAAAACUCAUGAAUUAAUUGAAAAUUUCUCAAUAAUUCAGAGAAACCGUUGACAGACGGGGAUCAUUUUCCAGUCAGUCCAAAAGCAAGAGCAUCAAUUAACAAAGCCAUACUAACAAGGAGCACCACCCGAUAAGAAGGCAGCUCAAAGCAAAUAACUGCAAUCUCCUAGAUUAAUUGUAAUCUUCACGUAUAAAUCUGUCAUAAGAUGCAGAUUUUUUUGCAUGCAUGAUUGAGAAGUUGGAAUCAAAACCAGCAUCCCAAAAUUGGAUACAAUAUAGCGAGCAUCAGUUAUUGCGAUGUCUUCAUACCAAGGCUCAGCUUGAAGAAAAAAGGAAGUUAGAAGCAGAAACAGGAUCCCACAAAAGGAGACAACAUAGCGGGCAUCAGUUAUUGGUAUAUCUUCCUACCAAAGUUUAGCUCCAAGAAAAAAGGACUGGUACCAACAAGAAGCCAUGCCAUAGUGGCAACAAAAUAUUACUAUCUUAAAAAUGACUUUUGCUGGUAGGUGAAGCUACAUAUCACCACCUAAGAAAAGCACAAAUAUAAUGGUGACUAGGUGGCAGAAAAGCCAGAGGCACAAAAUAAUCUUACUUAAAUUAUAAACUGAACCUCAAUGCUGAUGGAAAUGACACUAGCUAAAAGACGCACAAAAUUUCAAGGCACAUCACAGGUGUUUUUGUCAGAUGAGAUUUGAGUUCAAC
rnacentral:lncRNA from 1 species